GCUGGGGACCUGCUCUUGGGUCUGAUGCAGGAGGGGUGUGGACCCCUGGUCCCGCGGUUCUUGCUCUGCUUCGGGUCCCAACAGCACCUCGGCGCCCUGUCUUCGUUGACCCGGGACAGGAGGCGAGCCCCAGGCUUCUCCUCUCGGAAAGCCAAAAUGAGGAUCAGACCCGAGGAAAUGAAUCCUGUAUUUAGGCAACCAGAUAAAUCUUUAUUUGUGACUUGA